UCCGGGUGUCUGGGACAGGUUUUGUGACGAGAAGAACAGACAGAAAUAAGGAUCGACAUCGGCGGGACCCAAGGAUGUGAGAUCACGCACGACGAUGCGGAGUUAAUGCGUUUUCAAAACAAACCUACUCGCAGCAAACGUACGAUGAACGAGCGAUAGAUGGAUAGAUGGAUGGUUGAAAUCGGAAAGCAUUUGCGCACAGUUGUACCCCGGGAGAAGUGGAAAUACUAUCGUAAACAUCUUUCAGGUUCUUACGGCACGGCCAGAUUCGUUAGUGAAGGUCUAAUCGUAAAUCUUGCAACCCAACCUCUCUUACUCUCUCUCUAUGCAGUUGGCCUGGCAAGCCGAAUCGGUUCGUGCACAAGUUGAUGUUCCCCAGCGUGUCAUAGACCAUCGGAAUGGAAUCCAGACAAACAUCCGAUUCCUGUUUUGUUUUGGUUUUGUGAUUUGUAAUCGUUUCGAUAUGGAAUAGGUAGUUGAAAAAUCUGCUGCCAUAAUUUAGUUUGCGGACUCUCGCUCUUAACGGACUAACCUUUGAUAGGGUCUAGCUUGGCGCAGGUGACCAAUUGCUCAUUUUCUUAUCUUACUAAUUACGACCUCUUGUUCUCCCCUACCGAAAUGAUAAAGUCGCUAAAGGUAAACCCGAUUUAUGUAAUCUAUUUGCGAAAAUUCACCCAAAAUUCCUACCGUCAAAAAUGACUAAUGGCUCAAAAACGUGUGACAAACCCAUGAGUAACGCCAUUUGCUCCAGAUAUGUACCAGGCAAAGGAUAGCAAAGGAAAUAUGUAUGUUCAACACGAACAGGAAUAGAGAAAAAAAAGUUAGCGAAAUGAAAGGAUCGAUUGCUCACAGCUGAGCCUCGGGCCAGUUACUUUUGGGCCGGCAAAAGUGAACAAGCAAACGCAAACGAAGGGAAAGCACUCACAGACAAUACGUUGAUUGUGAUACCAGCCCACAGGAACAACGCUCCAUGAUAACGGCAGUGUAAGAGCGAAACAAAACCGGGACGACUUCCGCCCCGUGGCCCCAGAGCGCUGGCAGUGACAGAAUUCAGGAUGUCAGACAAAAAACCUCCUCAGACCAAACCACCCUGAAGGCAUUCAGAUUACGGGAUCAUUUUUCGUAACGAUAGGUGGUAUAAUUUAUGCCAUCGCUCGGCACUUCCCGAAAACCCGGGUCCACCUCUAGGUUCACUGUUGUGUGGAAAUUGUUUCCACGUAUUGUUCCCGGUACAACCCAGUUCGGUUGGUUGAUUCAUUCACGGUGCUGUGACAUCUAUGUGGGUCUUUGUUGUCAAAGAAAUGUGUUGCCCACCCCGUAA